CCUACGGGAGGCAGCAGUGAGGAAUAUUGGUCAAUGGACGAGAGUCUGAACCAGCCAAGUAGCGUGAAGGAUGACUGCCCUAUGGGUUGUAAACUUCUUUUAUAUGGGAAUAAAAUGUUCCACGUGUGGGAUUUUGUAUGUCCCAUAUGAAUAAGGAUCGGCUAACGCCGUGCCAGCAGCCGCGGUAAUACGGAGGUUCCGAGCGUUAUCCGGAUUUAUUGGGUUUAAAGGGAGCGUAGGUGGAUUGUUAAGUCAGUUGUGAAAGGUUGCGGCUCAACCGUAAAAUUGCAGUUGAAACUGGCAGUCUUGAGUACAGUAGAGGUGGGCGGAAUUCGUGGUGUAGCGGUGAAAUGCUUAGAUAUCACGAAGAACUCCGAUUGCGAAGGCAGCUCACUGGACUGCAACUGACACUGAGGCUCGAAAGUGUGGGUAUCAAACAGGAUUAGAUACCCGGGUAGUC
rnacentral:rRNA from 1 species